GGGGAGGUGCCAGAGAGGUCGAAUGGGGCCGCCUGCUAAGCGGUUACCGGGAUAAAACUCGGUCAUGGGUUCGAAUCCCAUCCUCCCCG
rnacentral:tRNA from 2 species